GCUUUGGUAGCUCAGUCGGAAGAGCGUUAGUCUCAUAUUAUCUAAAGGUCGAGAGUUCGAACCUCCCCCAGAGCA
rnacentral:tRNA from 1 species